rnacentral:rRNA from 1 species
GGAAGUAGGGAAAUGUGUGAGCCAGCUGCCAAGAAAAGCCGCUAUUGUUUGUACUGUACCCGUACCGUAAACCGACACAGGUAGGUGAGGAGAGAAUCCUAAGGCCGACGGGAGAAGCAUUGUUAAGGAACUCGGCAAAAUGACUCCGUAACUUCGGGAGAAGGAGUGCCAGUGAGAGCUGGCCGCAGAGAAUUGGCCCAAGCAACUGUUUAGCAAAAACACAGGUCUAUGCAAAACCGUAAGGUGAAGUAUAUGGGCUGACGCCUGCCCGGUGCUGGAAGGUUAAGGGGAGAGGUUAGCGCAAGCGAAGCUUUGAACUUAAGCCCCAGUAAACGGCGGCCGUAACGAUAACGGUCCUAAGGUAGCGAAAUUCCUUGUCGGGUAAGUUCCGACCCGCACGAAAGGCGUAAUGAUUUGGGCACUGUCUCAACAAUGCACCCGGUGAAAUUGAAAUACCAGUGAAGAUGCUGGUUACCUGCGCCAGGACGGAAAGACCCCAUGGAGCUUUACUCCAGCUUGAUGCUGGGAUUCGAUAUUGUAUGUACAGGAUAGGUGGGAGGCGAAGAAGCAUUGACGCCAGUUGAUGCGGAGCCGCUGUUGGGAUACCACCCUUGCAGUAUUGGAUUUCUAACCAGCAGCCGUGACCCGGCUGGGGGACAAUGUCAGGCGGGGAGUUUGACUGGGGCGGUCGCCUCCGAAAGGGUAUCGGAGGCGCUCAAAGGUUCCCUCAGAAUGGUUGGAAACCAUUCGAAGAGUGCAAAGGCAGAAGGGAGCUUGACUGCGACACCGACGGGUGGAGCAGGUACGAAAGUAGGACUUAGUGAUCCGGUGGUAUAAAGUGGGAUUGCCAUCGCUCAACGGAUAAGAGCUACCCUGGGAUAACAGGCUUAUCACUCCCAAGAGUUCACAUCGACGGAGUGGUUUGGCACCUCGAUGUCGGCUCAUCGCAUCCUGGGGCUGAAGUAGGUCCCAAGGGUUGGGCUGUUCGCCCAUUAAAGCGGUACGCGAGCUGGGUUCAGAACGUCGUGAGACAGUUCGGUCCCUAUCCGGCGUGGGCGUAGGAUAUUUGAGAGGAGCUGGCCUUAGUACGAGAGGACCGGGCUGGACUGACCGCUGGUGUAUCUGUUGUUCCGCCAGGAGCAUGGCAGAGUAGCCAAGUCAGGAAGGGAUAAACGCUGAAGGCAUCUAAGCGUGAAGCCCCCCUCAAGAUGAGAUAUCCCAACGCAAGUUGUAAGACCCCUUGAAGACGACAAGGUAGAUAGGGCAGAGGUGGAAGUGCAGUAAUGCAUGGAGCUGACUGUUACUAAUCGGUCGAGGGCAUAACC